rnacentral:rRNA from 1 species
AUUUCGAACGACGGAAGCAGCUUGUCGCUGACAGUGGCGGACGGGUGAGUAAUGUCUGGGAAACUGCCUGAUGGAGGGGGAUAACUACUGGAAACGGUAGCUAAUACCGCAUAACGUCGCAAGACAAAGAGGGGGACCUUCGGGCCUCUUGCCUCGGAUGUGCCCAGAUGGGAUUAGUCUAGUAGGUGGGGUAACGGCUCACUCUAGGCGACGAAUCCCCCUAGGCUGGGUCUGAAGAGGAUGACCAGNCAACACUGGGAAACUGGAGAACACGGUUCCCAGNAACUCCCUAACGGGANGGCAGCAGGNUUGGGGAAAUUAUUUGCAACAAAUGGGCGCAAAGCCCUGAUGUCAAGCAUGCCGCCGUUGUAUUGAAAGAAAGGCCUUCGGGGUUGUAACAGUUACUUUUCAGGCGGGGGACGGAACGCGUGUUGGAGGGUUAAUAAACCUUCCAGGCAAAUUUGACGUUAUCCCGAAGAAGAAAGGCAACCCGGGCUAACUCCGGU